AUGUCGUCUUCCACCUCUGCCAUCUCCUCUGGCCUCAACAACAAUACAUCUGAACCUCUUACCCGCACCAACUAUAUCCUAUGGCGCGCCCAAGCCAGAUCACAGAUCAUGGGCGCCGGCCUAUACGGUUACCUCGAUCAAACCAUCGAAGAAUCUUCCAAAACAAUCACCACCAAGACCACCGAUGGCAAGGACCAGGUUGUUGUGAACCCUCUAUGCCCCUGGUUAAUCCAGGACCAA
rnacentral:rRNA from 1 species